CCUGGCUCAGGAUGAACGCUAGCGGCAGGCUUAACACAUGCAAGUCGAGGGGUAACAGGGAGUAGCAAUACUCUGCUGACGACCGGCGCACGGGUGCGUAACGCGUAUGCAACCUACCUGUAACAGGGGAAUAACGGAGAGAAAUUUCCACUAAUACCCCAUAUUGUUGAAGAUUCGCAUGUUUCUUCAACGAAAGCUUCGGUGGUUACGGAUGGGCAUGCGUGACAUUAGGUAGUUGGUGAGGCAACGGCUCACCAAGCCGACGAUGUCUAGGGGAGCUGAGAGGCUUAUCCCCCACACUGGUACUGAGACACGGACCAGACUCCUACGGGAGGCAGCAGUGAGGAAUAUUGGUCAAUGGACGGAAGUCUGAACCAGCCAUGCCGCGUGGAGGAAGAAGGUCCUAUGGGUUGUAAACUCCUUUUGUUCCAGAGUAAUAAGGGCUUUGCGAAGCCUGAUGAGAGUAUGGGACGAAUAAGCAUCGGCUAACUCCGUGCC
rnacentral:rRNA from 1 species